CCUACGGGUGGCAGCAGUGAGGAAUAUUGGUCAAUGGACGAGAGUCUGAACCAGCCACGUAGCGUGAAGGAUGACUGCCCUCUGGGUUGUAACCUUCUUUUAUAUGGGAAUAAAAUGUUCCACGUGUGGGGUUUUGUAUGUACCAUAUGAAUAAGGAUAGGCUAACUCCGUGCCAGCAGCCGAGGUAAUACGGAGGGUCCGAUCGUUAUCCGGAUUGAUUGGGUUUAAAGGGAGCGUAGGUGGAUUGUUAAGUCAGUUGUGAAAGUUUGCGGCUCAACCGUAAAAUUGCAGUUGAAACUGGCAGUCUUGAGUACAGUAGAGGUGAGCGGAAUUCGUGGUGUAGCGGUGAAAUGCGUAGAUAUCACGAAGAACACCGAUUGCGAAGGCAGCUCACUGGACUGCAACUGACACUGAGGCUCGAAAGUGUGGGUAUCAAACAGGAUUAGAUACCCCUGUAGUC
rnacentral:rRNA from 1 species